rnacentral:lncRNA from 1 species
CACAAGCGAGCCGGGCCGGGCUCGUGUUUGGCUCUUUUUAUAAACCAGCCUAACACGAGCUCACUUUUUUAAAUAUCAAACCGGAAAAUUCAAAUCGGGUUAGCUUACUCAUGGAGAAUAAGUUAAAAAAAUUAGAAAAAAAUAUAUAUGGGAAAUAAAUUUAUGACGUUUUAUCUGUUAGUUUUUGAUAUGAUCUUCGACCCAUUUAUAUAUACAAGGGUCGUUUUAUAAUUGAAUUGUACUUUAUAUUUAUAAUAUUGAACUAAAAUCAAAUAAUUAAAUCGGUAUAAUUUAUAUAAUUAUUUAUUUAUAUAUCUAUAUACUAUAUAUAAAAUCACGUAUUUUAAAUUUCGGUCGGUAGAUAGACCCAUACUUUGGCGGAAAAAAAAUUAAUUCCUCUUUUCUUACACAAAAUAAAUAAUUUUCUCUUUAUCUCUAAAAUAAAAAAAUAUACUUAUCUAAAUUUUUACCAACCGAAAAAAAUCUACUGUGAAUUUAUAUUUUAAUUCAAAAUUUAUUUAAUUUUUUUUUAUCUCUAAAAUAGAAACAANUUAUCAAAAUUUAUGAAAUUUAGUUUCUAGAUAUUUCAAAUACUCUAGAUCAACUUCAACGAUUCCGAUCAUUGAUUCGGAAUCUCGAUCAUACAGAACAACUUGAUAGGACAAGUGCUCCUAUCCUAUUAAUAGGAUAGUAGCAUUAGCCUAUAUAUAUAUAUAUAUA